rnacentral:lncRNA from 1 species
CGGACAGCAGGCAGCUGGCUUUUGCUCCACCAUUUGCUCAGCACCAAGGCCUGGGACAACUUAUUGGUUCCUUAUAAAGCCACAGCAGAGCACAAUCAUGGAGGAUCCAGGAUUGCAUAGACGGAAGCAGCCAAGCAUUGGAGGUCGACAUGCCUGUGCCCAAAUCCCAUGUGUUAUGUCCUGUGUGGGUUGACACUAGGAUGGCUGGUGACCUGCUCCUUGUAUUCACACCCUGUGUAGUGGGGGUGCCUCCUCUUAAGUGUGGGCUGGCCUAGCAACUUGCUUCUAACCAAAGGUGACAGGGUGUCACUUCUCAGAUUAGGUUUCAAGAGAUUGUAGCCUCCCUCACAAGCAGAUUCUUUAUUGCCUUCUCGGGUCACACACAUUGAUAAAGUAAGCAGGCCCAUGUGGCAAGGAACUGACAGUGACCUCCAGCCAACAGCUGGCAGGAACUGAGGCCCUUGGUCUAACUGCUCAGAUGGAACUGAAUUCUGUCAACUGCGGAAUGCCUUAGAGGCAGCUCCUUGACCGGCUGAGCUUCCAGAUGAGCCCCCAGCCCUAGCUGACACCUGGAUUGCAGCCUCAGAAGAGACCCUGAAGCAGAGGAUUCUGUAGAGACACACCCAGAUUCCUGAGGCACAGAAACUGUGAGAUAAUAAAUGUGUUUUUGCUGUUGU